UUCUUGAAAAUUAAAAAAUUUGGCGGUAUUUUAGUCUUUUCAGAGGAACCUGUUCUGUAAUUGAUAUUCCACGAUUUAUUAUACUUAUUUUAAUAAAUUUAUAUAUCGUCGUAGUUUGAAUAUUUUUAUAUUUAAUAUUAUCAGAUCAAGGUGUAGUUUAUAAAUAAGUAGAAAUGGGUUACAAUUAAAUUAAUUAUUAAAUUGGAUUUGAAAGUAAGCUCUAAAAUAUGUACAUAUUGCCCGUCGCUUUUGUUUUAAGAUGAAAUAAGUCGUAACAAAGUAGAUUUACUGGAAAGUGAAUCUAGAAUACAAAUUAGAGCUUGUAAAGUAUUUUAUUUACAUUAAAAUGAAAAUUAUUAAUUUAAUUUAAUUUGAAUUAAAUUUAUUAUUAAUUAAAUUUAGUACUGAAUUUUAAAAAAAGAAAUUUAGUUUUUAUUAUAUUUAAGAAAAAAUUUAAUAAUAGUGAAUUAUGUAUUGUGAAAGAAUUAUUUUAAAUUUGUAAAAGAAGAAUUAAAUUUUUGUACCUGGGNNNNNNNNNNNNNNNNNCUCGAAUUUAAAAGAGUUAGUUUUAUUGUAAAAUAAAUAUUUAUAAUAAUUAAUUAGAAAUGAAACGUUAUUCGUUUUUAAAUAUAUCUAGUUUUUAAAGAAAUAAAUUAAAUUUAGUUAUUAAUAUUUAAAUUUUUUAGGGAUAAGCUUGAAAAAAUAAAUCUAAAAUUUUUUAAUUAAUUAAAAGUUAUAGGAUUAUAAUUUUCUAAUGAUAAAAAAAUGUUAUAAUUAAUAAAUUUAGAUUUUAUAUUUAAAUGUAAGUUUUAAUUUUAAAAAUUUAGUAAUAAUGAUGAAAUUAGUAAGGUUAAUUUAAGGAAUUCGGCAAAAAAUUUUUCACCUGUUUAUUAAAAACAUGUCCUUUUGAAAAUAAUUUAAGGUCUAAUCUGCCCACUGAUUAAAUGGCCGCGGUAUUUUGACCGUGCAAAGGUAGCAUAAUCAUUAGUUUUUUAAUUGAAAGCUGGAAUGAAAGAUUGGAUGAGAAAAUAACUGUCUCUAGAAUUUUAUUUUUAAGUUAAAAAGCUUAAAUAUUUUUAAAAGACGAGAAGACCCUAUAGAGUUUUUUUAUUGGGGUGAUAGAAAAAUUAAUUAAACUUUUUUUUAGUAAAUUUUUGAUCCAUGAUUAUAAGAUAAAAUUACCUU
rnacentral:rRNA from 1 species